GACGAACGCUGGCGGCGUGCUUAACACAUGCAAGUCGAACGCUGAAGACCUGGCUUUUGUUGGGUUGGAUGAGUGGCGAACGGGUGAGUAACACGUGAGUAACCUGCCCUCUUCUUUGGGAUAACGCCCGGAAACGGGUGCUAAUACUGGAUAUUCACUGGCCUUCGCAUGGGGGUUGGUGGAAAGGUUUGUUCUGGUGGGGGAUGGGCUCGCGGCCUAUCAGCUUGUUGGUGGGGUGAUGGCCUACCAAGGCUUUGACGGGCAGCCGGCCUGAGAGGGUGACCGGUCACAUUGGGACUGAGAUACGGCCCAGACUCCUACGGGAGGCAGCAGUGGGGAAUAUUGCACAAUGGGCGAAAGCCUGAUGCAGCGACGCCGCGUGAGGGAUGGAGGCCUUCGGGUUGUAAACCUCUUUCGCUCAUGGUCAAGCCGCAACUGUGGGUUGUGGUGAGGGUAGUGGGUAAAGAAGCGCCGGCUAAUUACGUG
rnacentral:rRNA from 1 species